rnacentral:rRNA from 1 species
UACAGAGGGUGCAAGCGUUUGUUCGGAAUUAUUGGGCGUAAAGCGCGUGUAGGCGGCUUUGCAAGUCGGGUGUGAAAGCCCUCAGCUUAACUGAGGAAGUGCGCCCGAAACUGCAGAGCUUGAGUACCGGAGAGGAUGGUGGAAUUCCCCAAGUAGAGGUGAAAUUCGUAGAUAUCGGGAGGAACACCAGUGGCGAAGGCGACUACCUGGCCUGUUUCUUGACGCUGAGGCGCGAAAGCUAGGGGAGCAAACGGG